GGCCGCCUGGCGAAAUGGCAUCGCGUCUGACUACGAUGAGUGGUAAUCAGGAGAUUGCAGGUUCGACCCCUGCGGUGGUCA